rnacentral:rRNA from 1 species
GAUGAACGCUAGCGAUAGGCUUAACACAUGCCAGUCGAGGGGCAGCAUGGUCUUAGCUUGCUAAGACUGAUGGCGACCGGCGCACGGGUGCGUAACGCGUAUGCAACUUGCCUCACAGAGGGGGAUAACCCGUCGAAAGACGGACUAAUACCGCGUACACUCCAUCUUGGGCAUCCAAGGUAGAGGAAAUGAAAUUCGCUGUGAGAUAGGCAUGCGUCCCAUUAGCUAGUUGGUGAGGUAACGGCUCACCAAGGCGACGAUGGGUAGGGGAACUGAGAGGUUGAACCCCCACACUGGUACUGAGACACGGACCAGACUCCUACGGGAGGCAGCAGUGAGGAAUAUUGGUCAAUGGGCGAGAGCCUGAACCAGCCAAGUCGCGUGAAGGAUGACUGUCUUAUGGAUGGUAAACUUCUUUUAGACGGGAAUAACAAGAGUCACGUGUGACUCCCUGCAUGUACCGUAUGAAUAAGCAGCGGCUAACUCCGUG